AUGGGCGUGGUGCCCCUCCCAGUCCCUCCCAGUUCCUUCCCAGUCCAUCCCAGUUUCCUCCCAGUCCCUCCCAGUUCCUCCCAGUUCCCUCCCAAUCCAUCCCAGUUCCCUCCCAUUUCAUCCCAGUCCCUCCCAGUCCAUCCCAGUUCCAGUUCCCUCCCAGUUCCCUUCCAGUCCCUCCCUGUCCAUCCCAGUCCCCUCCCAUUUCAUCCCAGUCCCUCCCAGUUGCCUCCCAGUCCACCCCAGCUCCCUCCCAGUCCCUCCCAGUUCUCUUCCAGUCCAUCCCCGUCCCUCCCAGUUCCUCCCAGUGCAAUCCCAGUCCCAUCCCAGUGCCAUCCCAGUCCCUCCCAGUGCCACCCCAGUCCCUCCCAGUUCCCUCCCAAUCCAUCCCAGUUCUCUCCCAGUCCUUCCCAGUUCCUCCCAGUUGCCUCCCAGAUCCUCCCAGUCCCUCCCAGUCCAUCCCAAUCCCUCCAGUCUCUCCCAGUUCCCUCCCAUUUCAUCCCAGUCCCUCCCAGUUGCUUCCCAGUUCCUUCCAGUCCAUCCCAGUGCCAUCCCAGUCCCUCCCAGUUCCCUCCCAAUCCAUCCCAGUUCCCUCCCAGUCCUUCCCAGUUGCCUCCCAGUUCCUUCCAGUCCCUCCCAGUUCUCUCCCAGUUCUUCCCAGUCCCUCCCAGUUGCCUCCCAGUUCCUCCCAGUCCCUCCCAGUCCGUCCCAAUCCCUCCAGUCUCUCCCAGUUCCCUCCCAGUGCAAUCCCAGUUCCCUCCCAUUUCAUAUCAGUCCCUCCCAGUUCCUCCCAGUCCCUCCCAGUGCCAUCCCAGUUCCAUCCCAGUUCCCUUCCAGUCCAUCCCNNNNNNNNNNNNNNNNNNNNNNNNNNNNNNNNNNNNNNNNNNNNNNNNAGUUCUCUCCAGUCCCUCCCAGUGCCAUCCCAGUCCCUCCCAGUUCCCUCCCAAUCCCUCCCAGUUCUCUCCCAGUCCUUCCCAGUUCCUCCCAGUUGCCUCCCAGAUCCUCCCAGUCCCUCCCAGUGCAUCCCAGUCCAUCCCAAUCCCUCCAGUCUCUCCCAGUUCCCUCCCAUUUCAUCCCAGUCCCUCCCAGUUGCUUCCCAGUUCUUCCCAGUCCCUCCCAGUCCACCCCAGUUCCCUCCCAUUUCAUCCCAAUUCCUCCCAGUCCCUCCCAGUUCUCUCCAGUCCCUCCCAGUGCCAUCCCAGUCCCUCCCAGUUGCCUCCCAGUCCCUC
rnacentral:lncRNA from 1 species